GGUAAACGAGAUUGAACAAUAUUCCAGCAAAAACAAACGCCUUAUUAAGGCCUUGCUUAACAUGCGCAAAUCCAGAAAGGAUCACACACUUUACAAAUAUAUGGAUGACAUUUGAAAGAAACUGGAGGCAUGGAAGGAACCAGAGAGACCUUUGUAGUUUUUGGCCCUAUUUUGUAAUCUAUUUUGUUUUAAUCUUCAAUCACCUUCUGUUGUUUUCCAGUGGAAGCAAGGCCUUAAUAAGGCGUUUGUUUU
rnacentral:misc_RNA from 1 species